AUUUGAUGAACCGGUUCUACCGAAUAGGUGCGAAAUGGUAGGAACCCACCUCUGGAUCAGGGAUGCCUUCCUUGGAGACGGUGGGGCAGUAGAAUAAGGAGAGUUUUCCACCCUGGACACUUGGAGAUUUCGGAGGGACUGUGAAAAGCCUUAAGAACUCUUCAAAGAUGGAGUGGUCAACUUUCUCUCUCUUUCUCUGCUAUGUUUGACCCAUUUCCUGCGUUCAUGUCCAUGUUUAUACUUGGUACAUGUUUGACAAACCAAUUAACUAAAUAAAUAAAAAGAUUUCAUUGCCACACUUCAUUCAGGUUUUUUUUCUCUUUCUCUUUCGCUGCUAUGUUUCACUUUGACUCUUAGUGCUAAAAGGAUUCCAGACAACACAUCCUGGCUAGAAUAUGUCUCUUUAAAGUAGAAGUGAAAUUUUUAUCUCCUGCCACUUCUUGAAAUUUCUCUUCAAAUUUAUUUGGCGGUGGAGGGUGGGGAACAGAUUUGCUUUAGAACUGAAAGUCUCUCAUUUCUUCCCUAUAAUUCUUAGCUCCUCUCCAAUUUUUUUCUCCCUUCUCCACAGGAAGUUCUAUGAAGUGCGAAUAUUGCACAGCAAUUAAUACCCAUUGCUCUGGUCCGAAGGAAGAAUGUCCUUUUGAGAAUGAUGUCUGUAUGAGGUUGAAUAUCACAAUUCUCGACAUAUUCUGGGUCGCCAUUGGAAGGUGCACUCCAAAAUCUGAUUGUGAGCAAUAUGAACGUCUGACAGGGAAGCCUUUCUCUGGUGACAUAAUCAAUGUUCCGGGGAACUCCAUCAUUAAAGGGGUUGAGUGCAGCAGAGCCCCUCCUUCCUUUGCAUCCUUCGUCCCAGCCUUCCUUGGGCUCCUCCUGAUGAAGCUUCUUUGCUAGAGCUCUUCCUCCCACCCAAGAAAUUGUCCCCUUUUUCUCAGCCUGUAUGUCCUCUCCAGCUGAUCAGGUGGGACUUUUGAUGGUAUGCAUGGGUCUCUAAAUUUUCCCAGAUGCAAAACUGUUGAGCAGGCAGAAACAUAAUCAACAGCCUUUUUUUUUGUGUAUGUUGCAAGUUUUUAAUUUUAUUUUACAUAUACUUAUCAAUGUGUGAACAGUGUGGCACCUGGGUGUCAUACAUUCUAAUAACAAAUAGUAGUAGUAAAAUUGAUCAUAGUUAUUACAUUCAACCAACGUGUAUAUUUCUAAUAAUAAUGCACAUGUGUAUUAAAUUAUAUUAAAUCAUUAUUUAAUUAUUCCAUGUUUUAAUAUAUUGCUCUAAUGGCACUCACCAUAUUAUUUAAUCAUGCAUAAUAAUACCGCCAUUCAAUUUCUAAACUUCCCUCUUGUUAUUGCUUUUAUUUUAUUAUGUAAAAAGUAUUCAUAAUAUUCCCCCUUCCUCUAUUUUCUAUCACUAUUCUAACUUUGAAUCAUGUCAACCUUUUAUUAAAAGACGUUUUCUUUCUAUCCUACCUAACUUGUAAUACUGCCACCAUUCUAAAAAAGAAUGGAAAGAAAAGAAAAGAAGAAAAA